rnacentral:sRNA from 1 species
AUCCCCCCUCCCUGCACUCCUGCAGGAAGGUGAGAAUCGGGACAGUCGCAGGCUGGGAGACGCUCUGCUUUUCCUGCGUCCUGCUGGGAGCUGCGCGCUCCAGGUAUCCUGGCCUGCCGCCCUAGCCGGCCCAAGGAGCCACACAGGACAGUUGACCCAACACUUCUGCCACCUGAAGAACGACACCUGCAUUCCUCCAUCUCUGGGACCACCAAGGAACUCAGGGAGCUUGGAAUCUCUCAGAUCAAAAAGAUACUGACUCAUCGGAUAGCCAUGCCAUCCUGAAAACGGCCUUACUUGUGAAGUGGAGGUUCUGGAUCCGAACGACCCUUUAGGACCCCUUGAUGGGCAGGACGGCCCGAUUCCAACUCUGAAAGGUUACUUUCUGAAUUUUCUGGAGCCAGUAAACAAUAUCACCAUUGUCCAAGGCCAGACGGCAAUUCUGCACUGCAAGGUGGCAGGAAACCCACCCCCUAACGUGCGGUGGCUAAAGAAUGAUGC